ACACUGAUAUUUUUCUCUUUGUCUUCCUAGGGUUACCUUGGUGGAAGUCAACAAUCUUGACUUGGAGCAGUUGGAUGGUCGACCACUGGAAGCACUGACGCCCUACACUUCGGUGAAGCCCAAUAGAUAAAGACCAUCGACUGUCCGAGCCCCCCAGGAAGUAACCCAUCCACCAGAACCAGUGAGUUUGGAUCAGUCUGAUUCUCUGUGCUCUGAGUCGGAGGGGGAUCAACUUGAGGACCUAGGGGUUCUGCCCAACACCCAGAUGUGAAUCCACCUGAUGUCCUCCAUUACCAACCACCCUCCAACUUUUCAUUGCAUCAUCUACAGCUACUGUUGUUGUCAUUAUUUGCUAAGAAAGAGCAAGAAAACUAUCAUACUGGGCACAUAAAAUGUGAGAUACACAGAUUAACUAAAAACACUAGCACUGCAAACACUCAGAACAAAGAGAGCAGCAGUGCCUGGACUUUGCAGUCUCCCUCAAGUCCCCCUUCUGAGACUGACUGCCUGUUGAGAACAAGUGACAGGCAGAACCUCCCACCAACACAACAACCACCUUCUCUAUAUUCCACACAGCAGAAUUCAGUAUUUUAGUCUAUGAUUGCCAUGUGAGUGCACAACAAAUCAGUGAAAAAAUAUUAAUGACACAACUGCACCAAAAACAAUCAAAGUUUAUGUAUUAAAUAUCUUAAAUAUUGCCAGGUUGGUUUUCACAGCUGUUUCA